rnacentral:lncRNA from 1 species
AAAACAAAUGUUUUUCUGGUCUUCACUUUUUUGAGGCAGGAAGAUGAAAACUAAGCCCACGAAGCUUGAGUCAUCUGGAGAUGAAGCAGUCGCAGCGGAGCAGUCUUGGUAAUGGAGAAGAUCAUGUCAGCGCUGAGAAAGGCAGGGAGGGAGGCCUGAGCAAGGAAGCUUGGAGAAGCCUCUGGAGGAUGCCUGGCCAGGGCUGAAUGCUCAGAAAUGGAAGGGAAAGCUCAGGAGAUUAUCACUGAAUCAAAGUGAGAACCUCUGAGGAUAGAGGAAUUGGAUGGAGGUGCCCUUCAGAACUCAUGGAGAAAAGCACUGCUCCCAGUAAAAUAUCUCUCAUUCUAAUGAAUGGGAGGACUCUUCUCCAGGAGGCUGUGACUACCAAGGUUGCAAAUGCUCCACCUGAACUUGGGUGCAUGAGGGAUCUCUCUCUCUCACACACACACACCCCCCCACCGCGUAAGAUAAAUUUCUGUUUGUGAGCUGCCUACAUUAAAUGCUUUGCUCCUGA